rnacentral:rRNA from 1 species
AGUGAACGCUGGCGGUAGGCCUAACACAUGCAAGUCGAACGGCAGCACAGUAAGAGCUUGCUCUUACGGGUGGCGAGUGGCGGACGGGUGAGGAAUACAUCGGAAUCUACUUUUUCGUGGGGGAUAACGUAGGGAAACUUACGCUAAUACCGCAUACGACCUACGGGUGAAAGCAGGGGAUCUUCGGACCUUGCGCGAUUGAAUGAGCCGAUGUCGGAUUAGCUAGUUGGCGGGGUAAAGGCCCACCAAGGCGACGAUCCGUAGCUGGUCUGAGAGGAUGAUCAGCAACAGUGGAAAUGGGACACGGUCCAGAAUCCUACGGGAGGCAGCAGUGGGGAAUAUUGGACAAUGGGCGCAAGCCUGAUCCAGCCAUACCGCGUGGGUGAAGAAGGCCUUCGGGUUGUAAAGCCCUUUUGUUGGGAAAGAAAAGAAGCAGGUUAAUACCCCGCUGUUCUGACGGUACCCAAAGAAUAAGCACCGGCUAACUUCGU